rnacentral:lncRNA from 1 species
AAGAUUAUUAUUACACCAAAACUUUCACAUAUCAGAUCAAAACAUAAUUCAUGCAUAAACCUCGCCCGUGCGUUGCACUGGUCCAAAAUACUAGGUAUAAAAUUACACAGUUACAACCGACCUGAUUUGACUGAUAUAGCUGAUAUAAGAGGACCAUAUACCGAUCUAAAUGGUAUACUAGUUGUCCCUUUUCCUGCCCAAUAUAAGCGAAUCUCCAAGGUGUUAUUUGUCACAAUGGCAGGGAAUGACAUUGUGACUGCCUUAUCAACUCCUCCUGCUUCUUUUGCAAUAUUGAAGUCCUUAUGUACUAGUGUUCCCUAUGAAAUUUCAAUUCAAUUAUGUUAAUGCUUCAUGAUGAUUAAUUUAUUGACUACAAGCCUAAAUAUAAAACUCAUGUUGAUUAAAGACAACUAUACUGUAUGAAACUAGUAAAGAUCAGAUGCUUUUGAACAUAACUAAAAGAAACGGUAGGAAACAGAUGUGCAAAAUUCCUAGAGACUUUUCUAGGAAUAGAUAAACAAUAUUAGGUCACAUUUACUGACAAAAUAAGGCGACAUAUAUUAAAACUUACUUUAGAUAAACAAUAGAUGACAUAUUAUGAAUAAGUGUUAACCAUGUACCUGAAUAUAUAUAUCGAAUAUGCGCCUUCCUAGACUGUUAAAUGUUUGAUCAUUAGUAAACAUGAUUUCUGCAAAAUGUAGAUUUACUGUGUAGUUUCCAUUUCCCAAGCAAAAUCCAUAAUAUGUCAAAGAUGUGGGAGAAACUCUUGCUUUCGUGAAUAGUUCAGUAUUGGUCAAAGAAAGUGAUGAUGAUUUACUUGACCAAAUAUUAUAGUCUCCAACAUCAUUAUCCAUGAAGUUACCAGUGGUGCUAAAUGCCCAAUUAUUUCCACUUUGGUAGAACCUAGCUGCACCUGCUGGAUCUAAAUCUUCAUCAUAUGUUGUUCCAUUUACCUGUACCGAAUUUCCACCACAGUUUAUAUGAAGACCAUAUGAAGCUGCAAGAAGGAAAAUUGAGAAGUUAUUCAAAUAUUAACCAAAGAAAGAAAAUUAUGUAAUAAAAAAUAUAUAAAUUCCAUCAAAAUUUAUUUUUCUAUUCUCUUGCUGUCUAACUAUCAGUUUUCUUUGUUAUUGACAAUUCAGAGGAAAGAAGGAAAUCAUGUUAAGUUAUAUACAGGUUUCGGCCCACCAGGCAAGGUUUGGGAGGAUAGAUGUACGAAGUCUUACCUUUCAAGUAGAGAGUCUGUUUUCUAAGAUUUAAACUCGUAAUCUUUAAACUGUAAGGCAUCGACCUUACAGUUGCGUCAAGGCUUAUUAUAAUCAAUAUAUGCUUUAAGAUUGAUGCAACUUGAUAAGCAUGAUGUCAAAGAAGAUAACUAGCCACUUGCAACCAACAAAACUAUAAUUAUGAAUUGUGUGAUAUAUAAUAUCUAUCAUCUUAUGCAUGAUAACUAGCCUUUGAUAUGAAACAUUUCUUUAAAAAUAUUGAAGCAACAAUAGUGAAACCUUAGUAGUCAAUAGAAAAUUCACUGCAAAGAUACUUACUUUUAGGACAGGUCAUAAAGGCUGUCGAACAUGGAACGAUUCCUCUGAGAAAAUGACAGAGGACACAAUAAGUUAGCAUAAUCUCUAAUAAUCAAUGCAAGACUCCUCACAUUUUAAGUUAAAAUGAAAACUUACGAGUUGUUGCGGCUCGAAGAACUAGAAAACAAGUUCCUAUCAUAUAUAAGAGAUGGUUGUGAAUCAAUUAAGUUCUUAAUUUCUAAACAAAUACACAUAAAGCUAAAGAUUCUUACACUUUUCUAUCUUGACAUGUCGGAUUCCCUUGGCUUAUACUGAAGUUAUUGUAUGAAAGAUCUCUAUAUACAAUACAAGUGAUAAAGUUUUGAUUCAGAAUCUUAUAACACUUAGGAACUCCAAAGAAACAUAUCAACUAAAGCAAAAUUUCUCACAUAAUUAUAAGAAAGUUUAAACAGAGAGAAACAAAGUACACUAGAAAAAGAUGAAAAAAGGUAUUGUUACUGCACAAAUUAAAUUUAUUGUUCAAUUCAAGAAAUCAUAUAAGUAGCAUUUCAAAGAGAACUCACAGGUUGUCAGCUUUCUCAGACCAUGAAGGAACUGGUCCAGUGAGACGGUUUCCAGUAAAAUAUCUACAUUGAAGUAAUAUUAUAAAUUAAUGUAUAAAACUUCAUGUUCAUUAAGGACUUAACAAUUGUGGGACAUGAGCUAGUCACACUCAUUUAACUUUCCUUGAAGUAAAUGUGGUAAUGUAAAUCCCUAAAUCCUAUGUGUGAAUUUGAGUAUAAAGAGUUAAACAAAUAUGUGAUUAGAAAUUUAACCCUAAUUAUGAACUGCUACGAAUGUACAUUGAUGAAAUUCUUACAUGAAAUCCACUUUUCUUAGGGCAUCAUAGUUACUUGGAAUUGGUCCACUCAAUUUGUUAAAGCUGAGAUCUCUGAAAGAAAAAAACAUAUCAAGAAUGAGUUUAGAAACCACAUAAGGAAAUGACUAAGGUAAAAGUUCCUGCAUCACAAUUGGCUUGAAUAUAAACAAAUUAUAUCCAUGAAAGUGUUAAGUAACCAACUCUGACAAUGACUGAUGACACUGAUUGGAAGUAGAAGUUCACACCACUUUUUAUUCUUGAGACAGUAAUCUAAUUGGUGUAGAUUCGAUGAGUUUAGUUUUGAGAGAUAUCUAUUCUUUUUCUCCUAUUUUUAUCCAAGAGAUAUUAAUCAAGUCACUUUCUCAACCCUAAGAACGAGAGACCAUGAACUUCUACUUUUAUGAAACAUCGCCUAUUGUCGUUAGUUAUGAGUAGUUUUUAAAGGCCAUCAAAGUGGUGCAUUUUAGAAUUUGCAAAAAAACUAAAGGCUACAAAAUAAUAUAAACAUAAUAAAAGAGAGAAUAUAAUGAUUAGUUGCAAACAAACAAAAUAGGUGAAAUAUGCAAUUACAAGUUUUUUAGACUAGUGAGUGUCCGAAAAAAUGAAGGUAGUGUUCCAUUGAUGUUGCAACUUCUUAGAAUCCUGUGAAACAAUGAGAUAAAUAACAAAGUAUUAUGAUGAGUACAUCUUUUGCUACAUUUUUUUUUCUUUCUAUUUAUGUAAUAGUAAGUGCAAUCAACUCACAAAUAUUUCAGGUUCAUAUCAUUAAGUUGUGGAAAAGGUGAAUGUUCAGAGCCAUUUAAAUCACUGAUUCUCCUGCAUAUUACAUCAAAUUCACAACUAAGUAAAAACAAUUAAAAUGGAAGUUAAUUUUGGAACAUUAUUUACUACAUAAAAAAUAUCAUACAUACAAGUCAGUUAAAUUUUUUAAAUUUGAAAUUCCAGAAGGAAUUGGCCCACUUAAUCCACUCCCUUCAAUCACUCUGUAAAAGUAAAUUCAAUCAAUAAUUAGAAGAUAAAAACAAGACAUAAAUGAAAUCCAAGCAAUAGAAAAAAAAUUGAAGUUGAUGAAAUAAAAAAUAAUAGAAAAGGGAGAGAUUAUACAAUUUUUGUAGACUUGUCCAGCUUUGAAUAAAAUCAGGUAUCUUCCCAGUGAAUUGAUUGUCAGAAAUUCGACUAUAUAUAAUAAAAAUGUAUAAAACAAGGAAAAGUUACAAUAUCUCCAAAAAACAAUAUUCUAUAAUUUAAUCAUUACUCAAUAGUUUAUAAAGAUAUGAAACUUACAUAUCCUGCAAUGUGGUAAGUUUGACCAUUGUAGCAGGUAGUUGUCCAGUGAAAUUGUUGGAAGAAAGUAACCUAAAUAUAAUUAACAAUAAAUUGUGAAUCUAAGCUAUUGACAUUAAGAGUUUAAUUUUUACAACUUUCAAUUUAAAAAUAUUUAUACAGUCAACAAAUUACAAUUAAUCAUUUGUAAUGUGAAAUUUCAGAGGUAGUUAUAAUUAAACUUAAAAUAUUUAUAAUGAUAUAAAAUUAUAAUUAAUAUAAAUAAAUAUUAAUUUACACAUGUAUACCAAUUAAAUCAAUUAACACAAACUACUAGAAAAAAAACAGUUACCAAAAAUGGUAAAUAAAAUAAGGUACUUACAGUCUUUGAAUCUGAGUUAGAUUCCCAAGCUCAAGAGGAAGAUUGCCAGAUAAUUGAUUGGCCUCCAAUACCCUAUGAAUUUCAUGUUAAUGCAUGCUAUGUUGUACAAAUAAUCUUUGAAAUACUUACAUAGUUUUGUUACAAACAUAAAUGAAAAAAAAUAAAAUUAUUUACUAAGGUGGAUAGUGAGAAACUCACAAACUUUGGAGAGUGGAUAUGUUUGUUAUUUCUAUUGGUAUUGAACCAGUUAAUCGAUUUCCAAGGAGGGAGCUUCAAUGAUUAAAAGAAACAAUUAAUUAUAAAAUCUUAGAAAGAAUAUAAAAUAAGAACCACAUUUAGGAUAUAAUAUAAAGAUAUUAUUAUUAGAAAUAAAAUGAAAUAAGAGAACUCAUACAUGUUAACUAGAUUCAUGGAGCCCCAUUCUUUAGGAAUUGUACCAUUCAAGUAAUUGCGGGUAAAGUCACUGUAAUAGGAAGAGAGUAAUAUACAUUAAUAAUAUUAUUAACAUAUCAUACAUACAAGUAAAUGAAUAAAUGAAUAAAUGAAAUAAGUAUAUUACAUACAUUUCUUGAAGAUGAGGCAACCUGAUCAAUUCUGGUGGAAGAGUGCCCGGGAGAUUUUGUUGUUUCAAGAGUCUACAUAAUCAUUAAACAAUAAAAUAAAAUUCUAAGCCAAAUCAAGUAUUUAACUCUAAUAUUUUUUUAGCAAAUAUAAAGAAUUCAAAUAUUUUUUUUUUAAAAUGUUGUAGGCUGUAAAUUGACAAGUCUACCCUUGCAACUAACUAUCAUAACAGGUUGUAACAUAAAUUAUACUUCUUAUGUUCUAAAAUAAUUGAAUUAUUUGAUUUUUUUACACAUAUUAAAAUAAUAUAUAAAAAAAUAAAGAGAAUAUUAAUUUUACUAAAUUAACCUUAUGAAUUAUCAGUGUAUUAUCAUUAUCAUAAAUGUAUAGUUAAAGAUAAUACAUUAACAAUGAUGAAAAUAAUAUUAGUAUUGAUUCGAUGUGUGUCAUAAAUAUCAUUAUGUAAUAAUUAUUGUAUGAUCAUUAAUUAAUAAAUAAAUUUACAUAAAUACAUACAACAUAAAAGGCACAAUUACAAAUUUAAUCAAUAGUUGAAACAAACAAAAUCUGUCAUAUAUUACAAGUUACUCACUAUUAUCAAAGGAAAACGUAUUAAACUCACUCCUAAUAACAAAAAAUAAAAAUUUAUAGUGGCAUUAUUAUCUUGUUUAUAAGGAACUCAAAAAAAAAAAAAAAAGAAUUUUACAAGAUAACUAAUAAAAACAGAAUUUAUCUUGAUAGUCUUUAACUUCUCUUCUCCAAGUAAGAAGAAUCUAGGUGUACAGGAUAAAGAUCAUUUGCUGAAGUAGAUGAAGCAGUCCAUGGCCCUUCCAUUUGAAUGCUAUGUUCUUGGUAAUAUUGUCUCAUUGCUUCCAUUUUCUUCUCAUCCGAUACCUCACUUGACUCUGUAAACACUUCCUGAAUAUCUAUUGUACCUUCAAGCAUGCUUACCACUGAAGACAUGGCAGGCCUAAGAUUUGAAGUCACAUUAGUGCAUAAGAGGGCCACAUUUAUCAUCACCAUUGCUUCCUCUUUGUUGAAAUUUGUACCCAAUCUUUUAUCAACUAGCUCUAUUAGAUCACCUUUCUCUUUCAAGAGAUGUGCCUAGUAAAUAAAACCGAAAGAUAAGUAAAAUCUGACUAAAACGUAAAUUCACAGUAUUAAUAAUUUAACACUCUUUAGACAAAUGAUAAAUUUGUAUAGCUAAAAAUGGAAGACUAAAAGGACUCCUAAAGAUGGCUUGAACAUAAGACCAAAGUACUUACCCAAUCAAGAAGAUGGAAUGCUUCUUCUUUUUGUCGAAUAGUAGUAUUGUUCUUUCCAUGUAUGAUUUCUAAGGCCACAAUUCCAAAACUAUAGACAUCUGCUUUGUCAGUCAAGUAACCAUGCAUUGCAUAUUCUGGAGCCAUGUACCCACUACAUAAUAAAAAAAAGUUUAUCAGCUACAUUAAGUUUAGAAACUAACACAAUCCAUGUUUUAAUGCACCAAUAAUAGCUAAAUUGUAUUAUACCUAGAUAUAGUUUUGUUUCUUUUUAAUUAAUUGAAUCACAUCAUUCAUAAAAAAAAAUCAUUUUUUUUAAAUAAAUUCUCUAAAAUAAAUUAAAAUUUAAGAACUUACUAUGUUCCGGCUAUUCGAGUGCUAAUGUGAGUGUUCUCUUCUUCGUCAAGUUUAGCCAAACCAAAAUCGGAUAUUUUUGGAUUAAGAUCUUUAUCAAGCAACACAUUAGUGGCUUUAAUGUCCCUAUGAACAACCUUCAACCUUGAUUCUUCAUGGAGAUACGCUAAACCUCUAGCAAUACCAACACAAAUCUUGUAUCUUGUUGACCAAUUCAAUUUUAUUUGGUGCUCUUGAGGCCCUUUAUUUGUGAAGAAGAUAGAAAUAAAAAUAUGUUACCACAUAUAUAGUCAUAGACAUAUAUUAAAAGAAAUUAACUUUGAUGUAUUGUCGAUGUAAAACUUUUUAUAUUAUCAACCAAUUAUAAAUUAUCUUUUAGAUAUAAUUAAAGUCAAAUAUUUUUAAUAAUUCAACUGUAAGAAUUGAUUGAUAAUGUAAAAAAAACUUUACAUAAUUAACUAUAUAGGAAGAAUUACCGAAUAAAGCACGAGCAAGACUAUUAUUUUCCAGAUAUUCAUAUAUUAGAAUUAACUGAUCUCCCUCUACACAACAUCCAUAGAGUUUAACAAGAUGAGGGUGCUGCAAAGCCGAAAUCAUGCCGAUUUCAUUUAAAAAUUCCCGAUUCCCUUGCUUUGAUUUAGCAGAAAGUUGCUUCACUGCUAUCAAUGUUCCAUCUGAUAAACGUCCCUGCAUUUUGAAGAAUGCUAUAUAUAGUUAUUAAAAGUUGAAAAUGAUUUUUCAUUAAACAAUACUUAAAAUUGUAAUAAAUAUGUGACAACCAAGAUAUAAUUUGUUAUAUUAAGGAGUGCUAACAACACACUCUCUAACACAUUUUUCUAUUGGUUUAAAUUUACAUGGGUACCACCAAAUUGUUUGAGUUCCAUUUAAGUUUGUUGGGACUAAUGUGAAUUUUAACCAAUAAAAGAGAGUAUGUUGCUAGCAUUACUCAUAAAACAAUAAUAGUACCUUGUAUACUGGACCAAAUCCUCCUUCUCCAAUCUUAUUGGCAACAUCAAAGUUAUUUGUUGCUCCUUUGAUUUGUCUUAGGUUAAAUAAAUUCAUUUGUAGGUCUAAACGCUUUACCUCUGUUAAUUGAUACAAAAUAAAUAUCAGAUAUAUCUUAUACUAGAAAAAACUUCCACAUUAUACACCUACAAGAACAUAACACAUUAACUAAAGAGAUUAAAAGUUAUUCUAUACUAACAAUCAAUCACAACUCUUCCAUUUGCCACGUCAUAACAUACAUUUUUUUAAAUAAAAAAUUUAAAAAGGUGGGUAUGCAGUUGUUUGAUGUAUUAGCAAGUUGUAAAAUACUAAUUUUGGCGUAGUAAAUAACUUUUCACUGAGAUGACAUAUCCUAUAAGCUCUUAACAUAAACAAUUACAUAAAUUUAUUCUAAGCACAUGAAAAAUCCAAACUUAAUUCUUUCUGAUUACCUGAUUCUAAAGAGUUUUUUUUUCCUAAGCAGCCUUUCCACCUAAGUAUACCAAACAAUAAGAUGAUAACAAUUGCUACUGCAGCUACUAUUCCAACCACAACUCCUGCAGAUAUGCUGCUUCCAUUUUCAGAAGGAGGUGGAAAAUCUGCAAGAUUAUUAUUACACCAAAACUUUCACAUAUCAGAUCAAAACAUAAUUCAUGCAUAAACCUCGCCCGUGCGUUGCACUGGUCCAAAAUACUAGGUAUAAAAUUACACAGUUACAACCGACCUGAUUUGACUGAUAUAGCUGAUAUAAGAGGACCAUAUACCGAUCUAAAUGGUAUACUAGUUGUCCCUUUUCCUGCCCAAUAUAAGCGAAUCUCCAAGGUGCUAUUUGUCACAAUGGCAGGGAAUGACAUUGUGACUGCCUUAUCAACUCCUCCUGCUUCUUUUGCAAUAUUGAAGUCCUUAUGUACUAGUGUUCCC